rnacentral:siRNA from 1 species
AUCACAGUCUUCGUUGUAAUUGCC